GAACGCUGGCGGCGUGCCUAACACAUGCAAGUCCAACGUGAAAGGGGAGCAAUCCCCCGGUAGGGUGGCAAACGGGUGAGUAAUACAUGGGUGAUCUACCUUAGGGAUGGGGAUAUCCUUCCGAAAGGAGGGGCAAUACCGAAUAUUGUCCGGAGCCGUGAAGGGUUCCGGGGAAAGGGAGGCCUCUGAUACAAGCUUUCGCCUUAAGAUGAGCCCAUGGCCCAUCAGCUAGUUGGUAGGGUAAAGGCCUACCAAGGCUACGACGGGUCGCUGGUCUGAGAGGACGACCAGCCACACUGGCACUGAAAUACGGGCCAGACUCCUACGGGAGGCAGCAGUGAGGAAUAUUGCGCAAUGGGGGAAACCCUGACGCAGCAACGCCGCGUGUGGGAAGAAGGCCUUCGGGUCGUAAACCACUUUUGCACGGGACGAAAAAGGGAUAUCGAACAAAUAUCCCCGAUGACGGUACCGUGAGAAUAAGCCACGGCUAACUCUGUGCCAGCAGCCGCGGUAAGACAGAGGUGGCAAGCGUUGUUCGGAAUUACUGGGCGUAAAGAGUCUGUAGGUGGUUUGUCAAGUCUUUGGUGAAAGGCCGUAGCUUAACUAUGGGAAUGCCAAAGAGACUGGCAGGCUGGAGGCUGGGAGAGGGAAGCGGAAUUUCUGGUGUAGCGGUGAAAUGCGUAGAUAUCAGAAGGAAGGCCGGUGGCGAAGGCGGCUUCCUGGAACAGUCCUGACACUGAGAGA
rnacentral:rRNA from 1 species